rnacentral:rRNA from 1 species
UUAUAAGAGACAGCAGCCGCCGCGGGAAAACGGAGGGGGCUAGCGUUGUUCGGAAUUACUGGGCGUAAAGCGCACGUAGGCGGCUUGGUAAGUUAGAGGUGAAAGCCCAGGGCUCAACCCUGGAAUUGCCUUUAAGACUGCCGAGCUAGUAGGUGAGAGAGGUGAGUGGAAUUCCGAGUGUAGAGGUGAAAUUCGUAGAUAUUCGGAAGAACACCAGUGGCGAAGGCGGCUCACUGGCUCAUUCUAGACGCUGAGGUGCGAAAGCGUGGGGAGCAAACAGGAUUAGAUACCCCCGUAGUCCCUGUCUCUUAUAC